rnacentral:rRNA from 1 species
GAAGCAACGCGCAGAACCUUACCACCUUUUGACAUGCCUGGACCGCCAGAGAGAUCUGGCUUUCCCUUCGGGGACUAGGACGCAGGUGCUGCAUGGCUGCCGUCAGCUCGUGUCGUGAGAUGUUGGGUUAAGUCCCGCAACGAGCGCAACCCUCGCCAUUAGUUGCCAUCAUUUAGUUGGGAACUCUAAUGGGACUGCCGGUGCUAAGCCGGAGGAAGGUGGGGAUGACGUCAAGUCCUCAUGGCCCUUACAGGGUGGGCUACACACGUGCUACAAUGGCGACUACAGAGGGUUAAUCCUUAAAAGUCGUCUCAGUUCGGAUUGUCCUCUGCAACUCGAGGGCAUGAAGUUGGAAUCGCUAGUAAUCGCGGGUCAGCAUGCCGCGGUGAAUACGUUCCCGGGCCUUGUACACACCGCCCGUCACACCAUGGGAGUUGGUUCUACCCGAAGGCGCUGCGCUGACCGCAAGGAGGCAGGCGACCACGGUAGGGUCAGCGACUGGGGUGAAGUCGUAACAAGGUAGCCGUAGGGGAACCUGCGGCUGGA